AACGAACGCUGGCGGCGGGCUUAACACAUGCAAGUCGAACGAGAUCUUCGGACGUAGUGGCAGAGGGGUGAGGAACACGUGGUAACAUCCCUUUCAGUUCGUAAUAACGUUGGGAAACUAACGCUAAUACCGGAUACGUGCUUCGGGAGAAAGAUUUUUCGCUGAAAGCUUGGCCUGCGUCUGAUUAGCUAGUUGGUGAGGUAACGGCUAACCAAGGCGACGAUCAGUAGCUGACCUGAGAGGAUGAUCAGCCACAUUGGGACUGAGACACGGCCCAAACUCCUACGGGAGGCAGCAGUGGGGAAUAAUGGACAAUGGGCGCAAGCCUGAUCCAGCCAUGCCGCGUGAGUGAUGAAGGCCUUCGGGUUGUAAAGCUCUUUUGUCCGGGAAGAUAAUGACUGUACCGGAAGAAUAAGCCCCGGCAAACUUCGUGCCAGCCGCCGCAGUAA
rnacentral:rRNA from 1 species